GGACAGAUUGGUGAAUUUCUGUUCUUUGCAGCCUCAGAGCUGGGAGGGUGGUCCUUACAAUGGACACUUGUCUUGAGCCAUGGUUUCUCUUAAUUACUUAAAUGAGAUUAAAUUGAACUAAAAACGUCUUCAUAUAAAUAAGAGCUAAACGUAAGCAUACUGGGGUGUCAGGGGGCUGAAUCAAUAGACAUCAACAUCACCAGGAUGGUUUUCAUUGAAUUUAAUGGGUGUUGGAGCUUUUCGAAGCUUGCUUAAGGUUAGAUACAAUCAAAUAUUACCAAAACAAAUGAUAAUGCAAGCAGGCAUAUGAUCAGUAAAAUAAAUGUACCCAUUCAACCAUCCAUUCAUCCAUCCAUCUUCCCAUUCAUCAACCAUUAUUUUGCAUUCACUUUCCAUUUUCUUGACUACUUUUUGGAAUUUAGCACAAGAAAAAAUGGAAGCUGAUAAGUGCAACAGGUUAGUAGAACUAGCAUAUAUUUACUAGAUUUGAUAUUUCAUCCCUAUUCUGGUUUACUUAUGACUUAAAAUGUAUGCUGAUGUAUACCAGAAAAUCCAAAAAGUAGUGCAGAAAAGAUAAUGGAAUCAAGGCAUUAUGGAAGAAUGCGUAUUUGUUAAAACUUGCACUCUAGACUGACAAAUAAGGAACAUGUACACUGAAAAAUUAGCAAACACAUGCGAAACAAAUGCAGAAAGAAUUCUGUGAGCUAUUAGCAGAACAUUACUCCAUGAAGAUGUAAAACCAGUUAGGUUCAUGUCCCUAACCUGGACUUUGUGAAUAUCAUCAGGAGGAGCCUGAAGCAGUGUCAGGAUGUUCUCACCUGACAUUUAUGUGGAUGAGCGACAUCACAAAUGGGGAUUAUCAGAAGGAAAGAGACUGAUCAUAAAGGAAUGCUUUUACUUUUAAAUCUUAAAUAUUUCUCUUUUCAUGGGUCACACUAAAAUACCAGUACUGUCUAUUAAAAGUGUACUGUCUAUUAAAAGCAAAAUCCCCCUAGUGGACACAAUUAUAUUUAUACUUGGUGUAUAGUAAUUAUUGUUAAUGAAAGAAACUGUAGAUCACAACACAUGCAGAGCUGUAAUGCAUGAAACUUUCUUAGCAUUUGCAGUAUAGCAUGGCUGUUUCACAAGCCUGAUUCUCUUCCCACAUCCUUCUGUAAACCAGGAUAAUCCUCACAGAUAUCAAUGGAAUUACACUGAUAUGAAAAUGGUAUGGGGGAGAAUCAACUCCAGGGAGGCUCCUGUGCUUCUGUUGAUGGGUUAUUGUUAGCUGAACCAAACAGCAUUCAGAUGAUCGUGUUAAGGAUGUUAGAUUUUUAUUUUUUUUUCCUAGCCUGAAAGCAGCCUGUUUUUCUCAGGAAUAAAGAUUCCUGGCUUAUGUUUGGACUACUUAAACCAAGUUUUAAUUAAUGAAUUCUUUUAUAUUAUGUGUACAUUUAUUUUCUUUUAUAAAUAGCAAGAGAGUAGACAGUUUUUUGCUUGUUUGUUUUUUUGAAGAUGUAAACCUUUGGGUUUCCUUUUAAUUUUGAUUGUAAUUAAAAAAUAAGGGAGGAGAUUAAAUUUAUCAGAACUCACUUUCUGUCAACAAAGUUAGAAUACAAAUUCUACCAAGUAAUGACUCUUUUGUUUAGCAGUUCAAUAGCAGCAGUUUAGGAAUCAGAUAAAUUAAUUUCUUAUAAUCAGUCAAGCAGAUUAAUAAACAAACUAAAAUCACAGAUUUUAUUUCUUUCAAUGCAACUAAAAGAAUGAAUUAGUGUAUUUUGAAUGAUGUACAAUCCACAGGUGCUCUCUGGGAUUCCAUUUGGAAUAAAUUACAACAUUGUCUAAUGUUGAUAACAAGCAAACUACAGAGCAUUAAGAACAAUAUAUAAAAACAAAUAAAAAAAUCAUAAUCAUUAAAAAAUGCUGGGAAGCUGUUGGAAGGCCAAAUCUGCCUUAGAUUUCAAGACUUCAAAUUUCUGGCUGAAAGACUAGUGAUUAAAAUUGCUGAAAGACAGGUAUACAUUAUUUCUCACUGUCAGCAUCACACAGUAGUAAAUCACUUUGAGGAUAAAUGAAGCUAAUAUAAACACUAGAUAAAACUCUGCACAAAAGUUACUUCCUGGAAACUUGUGGGGAAAAAAAUCUAGAAGACAUGAAAUACAUCAGCAAGUCAGAUAAGUAUAGUGAGUUAAAAAUAUGGCACACAGAAGUAUAUAGUUGAGUGGUGAAUAAACUUGAAGCAACUUCAAAACUCCCACUCACAGUUUCCCAUUAAUAAUGGCUGCAAGUGGGUUUUGGAAGAAUGAAAUUAUGAUGGUUCUGUCAUUAGAAUAUGCCAAAAUUUAGAUGCCUUAAAUAUGUGAAACUGUUGUUGGUCUCCGUACACAGCUUAAAAAUGUGGAUUCCAAAUUUCUUGGCAGUGGCUUAUUCCUUCACACAUAUGCCUGGAGUAUUUGCUAAGUUACUCAGCUUCACUAAUGAUGGGAAGUUUUCAAAGCAGCAGUGGCACGUUAAAUUAGAGGGAAAGACCUUCAACACUGUAAUAUUGUCAGGAUUCCAAAUAUCAAAUCUGUCUCCAAAUGUUCCAGAAUUUAAAUUCUUAGGAAAUUCUUUGAAGUAUUUUCUUCAUUAAGCUAUAAAUAAUUUGGGCUGGUAUACUGUUGCAGUGCUCUUGACCUUGCAGAUCUGACAGGUAGGAUUAUUUAAACUUCAUAAUAACAGAUGAUUCCCAUCCAAAGAUCUAACAAAUAAUAUUUACCAUGUGAAUU